rnacentral:rRNA from 1 species
GGGCUCACACAAGCGGUGGAGGAUGUGGCUUAAUUCGAGGCUACGCGAAGAACCUUAUCCUAGAUUUGACAUGCUUGAGAAUCCCUAUGAAAAUAGAGAGUGCCCUUCGGGAGCUCUUGCACAGGUGCUGCAUGGCUGUCGUCAGCUCGUGUCGUGAGAUGUCGGGUUAAGUCCCUUAACGAGCGAAACCCUUAUCUCUAGUUGCCAGCGGGUAAUGCCGGGGACUCUAGAGAGACUGCCGGUGUCAAACCGGAGGAAGGUGGGGAUGACGUCAAGUCCUCAUGGCCUUUAUGUCUAGGGCUGCACACGUCCUACAAUGGUACGGACAAACGGACGCAAUACCGCGAGGUGGAGCAAA